rnacentral:rRNA from 1 species
GCUUCCCUCUUUCUUCGUGCCUAAUACAUGCAAGUCGAGCGAACGGACGAGAAGCUUGCUUCUCUGAUGUUAGCGGCGGACGGGUGAGUAACACGUGGAUAACCUACCUAUAAGACUGGGAUAACUUCGGGAAACCGGAGCUAAUACCGGAUAAUAUUUUGAACCGCAUGGUUCAAAAGUGAAAGACGGUCUUGCUGUCACUUAUAGAUGGAUCCGCGCUGCAUUAGCUAGUUGGUAAGGUAACGGCUUACCAAGGCAACGAUGCAUAGCCGACCUGAGAGGGUGAUCGGCCACACUGGAACUGAGACACGGUCCAGACUCCUACGGGAGGCAGCAGUAGGGAAUCUUCCGCAACGGGCGAAAGCCUGACGGAGCAACGCCGCGUGAGUGAUGAAGGUCUUCGGAUCGUAAAACUCUGUUAUUAGGGAAGAACAUAUGUGUAAGUAACUGUGCACAUCUUGACGGUACCUAAUCAGAAAGCCACGGCUAACUACGUG